GAUGAACGCUGGCGGCGUGCCUAAUACAUGCAAGUCGAGCGAACAGACGAGGAGCUUGCUCCUCUGACGUUAGCGGCGGACGGGUGAGUAACACGUGGAUAACCUACCUAUAAGACUGGGAUAACUUCGGGAAACCGGAGCUAAUACCGGAUAAUAUAUUGAACCGCAUGGUUCAAUAGUGAAAGACGGUUUUGCUGUCACUUAUAGAUGGAUCCGCGCCGCAUUAGCUAGUUGGUAAGGUAACGGCUUACCAAGGCAACGAUGCGUAGCCGACCUGCGAGGUUGAUCGGCCACACUGGAACUGAGACACGGUCCAGACUCCUACGGGAGGCAGCAGUAGGGAAUCUUCCGCAAUGGGCGAAAGCCUGACGGAGCAACGCCGCGUGAGUGAUGAAGGUCUUCGGAUCGUAAAACUCUGUUAUUAGGGAAGAACAAAUGUGUAAGUAACUAUGCACGUCUUGACGGUACCUAAUCAGAAAGCCACGGCUAACUACGUG
rnacentral:rRNA from 1 species